rnacentral:tRNA from 1 species
AAACCUUCUGAAAUAUAGCUUCUAACUAUAUUAUAGUAGAUGAUUUACUAAGGUUUU